UACGAAGGGGGCUAGCGUUGUUCGGAAUCACUGGGCGUAAAGCGCACGCAGGCGGAUUGAUAAGUCAGGGGUGAAAUCCCGGAGCUCAACUUCGGAGUUGCCUUUGAUACUGUCUGUCUUGAGUCCGGGAGAGGUGAGUGGAAUUCCUAGUGUAGAGGUGAAAUUCGUAGAUAUUAGGAAGAACACCAGUGGCGAAGGCGGCUCACUGGCCCGGUACUGACGCUCAUGUGCGAAAGCGUGGGGAGCAAACAGG
rnacentral:rRNA from 1 species